rnacentral:rRNA from 1 species
UACGAAGGGUGCAAGCGUUAUCCGGAUUCAUGGGGUUUAAAGGGUGCGUAGGUGGGGCGGUAAGUCAGUGGUGAAAUCCUGCAGCUUAACUGUAGAAUCGCCAUUGAUACUGUCGCUCUUGAGUACGCUUGACGUGGGCGGAAUGUGCCGUGUAGCGGUGAAAUGCUUAGAUAUGGCACAGAACACCGAUAGUGAAGACAGCUCACGAAGGCGAAACUGACACUGAGGCACGAAAGCGUGGGGAUCGAACAGG